rnacentral:rRNA from 1 species
AUUGAACGCUGGCGGCAGGCCUAACACAUGCAAGUCGAGCGGAUGAAGGGAGCUUGCUCCUGGCUUCAGCGGCGGACGGGUGUGUAAUGCCUAUGAAUCUGCCUGGUAGUGGUGGAUAACGUCCGGAAACGGGCGCUAAUACCGCAUACGUCCUGAUGUAGAAAGUGGGGGAUCUUCGGACCUCUCGCUAUCAUAUGAGCCUAGGUCGGAUUAGCUAGUUGGUGGGGUAAAGGCCUACCAAGGCGACGAUCCGUAACUGGUCUGAGAGGAUGAUCAGUCACACUGGAACUGAGACACGGUCCAGAGUCCUACGGGAGGAAGCAGUGGGGAAUAUUGGACAAUGGGCGAAAGCCUGAUACAGCCAUGCCGCGUGUGUGAAGAAGGUCUUCGGAUUGUAAAGCACUUUAAGUGGGGAGGAAGGGCAGUAAGUGAAUACCUUGCUGUAUUGACGUUACCAACAGAAUAAGCACCGGCUAACUACGUG